rnacentral:lncRNA from 1 species
CGCUCUUGUCGCCCAGGCUGGAGUGCAGUGGUGCAAUCUCGGCUUACUGCAACCUCCACCUCCCGGUUCAAGCGAUUCUCCUGCCUCAGCCUCCUGACUAUCUGGGAUUAUAAGCGCCCACCAACACGCCCAGCUAAUUUUUGUAUUUUCAGUAGAGAUGGGGUUGUGCCAUGUUGGCCAGGCUAGUCUCGAACUCCUGACCUCAGGUGAUCCGCCCACCUUGGCCUCCCAAAAUGCUGGGAUUACAGGCGUGAGCUACCGUGCCCGGCCCCAAAAUAGUUUUAUAACAAGGUCAUUAGCAACCAAAAUGUAAAAGAAAUAAUUUGUGAUCCUGCCACCCCAAUCAACGAAGCUUUUUUCCUUCCUUCCUGGCCCCUCC